rnacentral:rRNA from 1 species
UACGUAGGGGGCUAGCGUUGUUCGGAAUUACUGGGCGUAAAGCGUGCGCAGGCGGCUCAUCAAGUCAGAGGUGAAAGCCCAGGGCUCAACCCUGGAACUGCCUUUGAAACUGUUGGACUUGAGUACGGGAGAGGUGAGUGGAAUUCCGAGUGUAGAGGUGAAAUGCGUAGAUAUGCGGAGGAACACCAGUGGCGAAGGCGGCUCACUGGACCGUAACUGACGCUCAGGCGCGAUAGCGUGGGGAGCAAACAGG